GACGAACGCUGGCGGCGUGCUUAACACAUGCAAGUCGAACGGAAAGGCCCUGCUUUUGUGGGGUGCUCGAGUGGCGAACGGGUGAGUAACACGUGAGUAACCUGCCCUUGACUUUGGGAUAACUUCAGGAAACUGGGGCUAAUACCGGCUAGGAGCUCCUGCUGCAUGGUGGGGGUUGGAAAGUUUCGGCGGUUGGGGAUGGACUCGCGGCUUAUCAGCUUGUUGGUGGGGUGGUGGCUUACCAAGGCUUUGACGGGUAGCCGGCCUGAGAGGGUGACCGGCCACAUUGGGACUGAGAUACGGCCCAGACUCCUACGGGAGGCAGCAGUGGGGAAUAUUGCACAAUGGGCGGAAGCCUGAUGCAGCAACGCCGCGUGCGGGAUGACGGCCUUCGGGUUGUAAACCGCUUUCGCCUGUGACGAAGCGUGAGUGACGGUAAUGGGUAAAGAAGCACCGGCUAACUACGUG
rnacentral:rRNA from 1 species